rnacentral:rRNA from 1 species
AAAGGAAUAGACGGGGGCCCGCACAAGCGGUGGAGUAUGUGGUUUAAUUCGAUGCAACGCGAAGAACCUUACCUGGGUUAGAAAACACAUGAACCUGGCGGAAACGUCGGGGUGCCCCUCGGGGAGCGUGUGGUUAGGUGCUGCAUGCCUGUCGUCAGCUCGUGUCGUGAGAUGUUGGGUUAAGUCCCGCAACGAGCGCAACCCUUGUCGCUAGUUACCAGCGAGUCAUGUCGGGAACUCUAGCGAGACUGCCGAUAUUAAAAUCGGAGGAAGGUGGGGAUGACGUCAAGUCAUCAUGGCCCUUAUGUCCAGGGCUACACACGUACUACAAUGGCCGGUACAAAGGGCAGCCAACCAGCGAUGGUGCGCUAAUCCCAAAAAACCAGCCUCAGUACAGAUAGGAGUCUGCAACUCGACUCCUUGAAGUCGGAAUCGCUAGUAAUCGCUGAUCAGAAGGCAGCGGUGAAUACGUUCCCGGGCCUUGUACACACCGCCCGU